rnacentral:rRNA from 1 species
CAGGCCUAACACAUGCAAGUCGGACGGUAGCACAGAGGAGCUUGCUCCUUGGGUGACGAGUGGCGGACGGGUGAGUAAUGUCUGGGGAUCUGCCCGAUAGAGGGGGAUAACCACUGGAAACGGUGGCUAAUACCGCAUAACGUCGCAAGACCAAAGAGGGGGACCUUCGGGCCUCUCACUAUCGGAUGAACCCAGAUGGGAUUAGCUAGUAGGCGGGGUAAUGGCCCACCUAGGCGACGAUCCCUAGCUGGUCUGAGAGGAUGACCAGCCACACUGGAACUGAGACACGGUCCAGACUCCUACGGGAGGCAGCAGUGGGGAAUAUUGCACAAUGGGCGCAAGCCUGAUGCAGCCAUGCCGCGUGUAUGAAGAAGGCCUUCGGGUUGUAAAGUACUUUCAGCGGGGAGGAAGGCGAUGUGGUUAAUAACCGCGUCGAUUGACGUUACCCGCAGAAGAAGCACCGGCUAACUCCGGGCCAGCAGCCGCGGUAAU